rnacentral:misc_RNA from 1 species
UACGGGAGGCAGCAGUGGGGAAUUUUGGACAAUGGGGAAACCUGAUCCAGCCAUCCCGCGUGUGCGAUGAAGGCCUUCGGGUUGUAAAGCACUUUUGGCAGGAAAGAAACGCGCAGGAUAUGCCGAUGCAACUGACUGACACCUGCAGAAUAAGCACCGGCUAACUACGUGCCAGCAACCGCGGUAAUACGUAGGGUGCAAGCGUUAAUCGGAAUCACUGGGCGUAAAGCGUGCGCAGGCGGUUCGGAAAGAAGAUGUGAAAUCCCAGAGCUUAACUUUGAACUGCAUUUUUAACUACCGAGCUAGAGUGUGUCAGAGGAGGUGGAAUUCCGCGAUGUAGCAGUGAAAUGCGUAGAUAUGCGGAGGAACACCGACGGCGAAACUGGCGGGAUCUUCUGACGCUCAUGCACGAAAGCGUGGGGGCAAACAGGAUUAGAUACCCCGUAGU